UAUUCAUUAACAAGGAUAUAAUCGCACCAAGAUCUUUAAAAAUUCCUUGUCUGAACUGGUGAACAUCACGAACAAAAACUUUCGAUAUAGCUUCAUAUGAAUCUAGUGUCGAGUGUGGAAAGUCUAUGGUGUCGAUCUCCUUCCAAUUGAUUUUGUCCCAUUGUUUCUAAUAUCGACAAAAUUUACGAAGUUCUUCUUUCCAUGGUUUGCAAAUGUUGCACCACUGACUCAAGUUAUUUCCGUAUUUUCUACUACAGUUUAUAGUACAUUUCAAGCC
rnacentral:lncRNA from 1 species